GACGAACGCUGGCGGCGUGCCUAAUACAUGCAAGUCGAACGCAGUGGGGACGGGUGAGUAACACGUGGGUAACCUCCCAUCAGAGGGGAUAACACUUGGAAACAGGUGCUAAACCGAUACUGAUGGAUGGACCCGCGGUGCAUUAGCUAGUUGGUGAGGGAACGGCUCACCAAGGCCACGAUGCAUAGCCGACCAGAAAGGGUGUGCGGCCAAUCUGGGACUGAGACACGGCCCAGAAUCCUACGAUGGGCAGCAGUAGGAAAUCUUCGGGAAUGGAAGAAAGGCUGACCGAGCAACGCGGCGUGAGUGAAGAAGGUUUUCGGAUCGUAAGACUCUGUUGUUAGAGAAGCGGUAUCUAACCAGAAAGCCACGGCUAACUACGUGCCAGCAGCCGCGGUAAUAC
rnacentral:rRNA from 1 species